rnacentral:rRNA from 1 species
UACAGAGGUCUCAAGCGUUGUUCGGAUUCAUUGGGCGUAAAGGGUGUGUGGGUGGCGCCGUAAGUCGGGUGUGAAAUCUCGGGGCUUAACUCCGAAACUGCAUUCGAUACUGCGGUGCUUGAGGACUGGAGAGGAGACUGGAAUUCAUGGUGUAGCAGUGAAAUGCGUAGAGAUCAUGAGGAAGACCAGUGGCGAAGGCGGGUCUCUGGACAGUUCCUGACACUGAGACACGAAGGCCAGGGGAGCAAACGGG